rnacentral:rRNA from 1 species
UGGGGAAUCUUGCGCAAUGGGGGAAACCCUGACGCAGCGACGCCGCGUGGAGGAUGAAGGUCUUCGGGUUGUAAACUCCUUUUCUUGGGGAAAAUGAUGAUGGUACUCAAGGAAUAAGCCACGGCUAACUCUGUGCCAGCAGCCGCGGUAAGACAGAGGCGGCGAGCGUUGUUCGGAAUUACUGGGCUUAAAGGGCGCGUAGGCGGUGGUACAAGUCUGAGGUGGAAGGCUACGGCUCAACCGUAGGACUGCCUUGGAAACUGUAUCACUUGAGUUAGACAGGGGAAGGCGGAAUUCCUGGUGUAGCGGUGAAAUGCGUAGAUAUCAGGAGGAAGGCCAGUGGUGAAGUCGGCCUUCUGGGUCUUAACUGACGCUGAGGCGCGAAAGCGUGGGGAGCAAACAGGAUUAGAUACCCUGGUAGUCCACGCCCUAAACGGUGGGCACUAGGUGUGGGGCUCGCAAGGGUUCCGUGCCGAAGGGAAACCAUUAAGUGCCCCGCCUGGGGAGUACGGCCGCAAGGUUG